UCCGAGUUGACCCCGGCGGUCUCCCGUGAGUCCCCAACACCCCCGAAGAGGCUUGCUGGCAACACGGGACAAGGGUUGCGCUCGUUGCGGGACUUAACCCAACAUCUCACGACACGAGCUGACGACAGCCAUGCACCACCUGUACACCGACCACAAGGGGGGCACCAUCUCUGAUGCUUUCCGGCGUAUGUCAAGCCUUGGUAAGGUUCUUCGCGUUGCGUCGAAUUAAGCCACAUGCUCCGCCGCUUGUGCGGGCCCCCGUCAAUUCCUUUGAGUUUCAGCCUUGCGGCCGUACUCCCCAGGCGGGGCACUUACUGCGUUAGCGACGGCACCGGGAGGGUCGCUCCCCCCGACGCCUAGUGCCCAUCGUUUACAGCGUGGACUAC
rnacentral:misc_RNA from 1 species